AUGAAUCCAUAUUUUGUUCAAUUUGGUUGUUUAAUAUUUGUUCGAACUUUUCGACAGAAAUAAAUUCCAAAUGAAAAUAAAUCUUGUAUCGGUUUCGGUUAAGAUGACAGCUGAAAAUUUAAUUACUCUUAGUGCAUAGACGUUGGUAAAAUAUCCGAAAAAAUCCAGGGCUGUAAAUUUAAUCUUAAACUAAAAACAAACCAAUGUUUUUGGUCCUAUGGAAUGCCAAAAAUUAGGAAAGCCGUAGCAAAUAUUAUAUAAUUUCAACAGAAAACAAUGUGCAGCAAAAAUAUACCAAAAAUCGUAAUGAGAACCAUUUAAAAUAUAAAGCAUACUCUUAUCAACAUCAUCAUCAUCAUCUGAAUUUACAAAAACUACACUAAAAAAGUGAACCAAUGUGUAUUUCCAGAAGGCAAAGAACCGCGUUUUUUUUUUCAUUUUCUUCAACCAAAAGUUAAUGGCUAUAGGUCAAGCGCACAUUCCUUUUAGUGCGAGUAAUACAUUUUUAAAGUGAAUCUUUUGGCAGAAGAGAGAAGAUUCUUGUUGAUGUAAA